GACGAACGCUGGCGGCGUGCUUAACACAUGCAAGUCGAACGAAGUGGCGAAAGGGUGAGUAACGCGGAAUCAACCUGCCCUUCAGUGGGGGAUUACAGUAGGAAACGACUGCUAAUACCGCAUGCCGAAGGAGGGGAUUGCGUAUGAUUAGCGAGUGGGAGGGGUAACGCCACAACAAGGCAAUGAGCAGUAGCCGGUCUGAGAGGAUGAACGGCCACAUGGGGCCGGAGACACGGCCCAGACUCCUACGGGAGGCAGCAGUGGGGAAUCUUCCGCAAUGGACGAAAGUCUGACGGAGCAACGCCGCGUGAGUGAUGACGGCCUUCGGGUUGUAAAGCUCUGUUAAUCGGGACGCGUUACCGGAAUAGAAAGCCACGGCUCACUACGUGCCAGCAGCCGCGGUAAUAC
rnacentral:rRNA from 1 species